GUGGGAGGGGGCUUGCUCCCGAUUGCAGUGUGUCAGCCAGCCUAUGUUUAGCUGGCACACCGCAAUCGGGAGCAAGCCCCCUCCCAC
rnacentral:misc_RNA from 1 species